rnacentral:misc_RNA from 1 species
UUGAAUCUCCGGCAGCGUCCUUCCUCGCCACAGCCACCGCCACCUCCGCGUGUUCUCAGGAAUUCUGAGAAUUCUAGUGCCAUGAGAGGCCAGAGUAACGGUGGUGUGAGAGGCCUUGCUUCUCCCGAUAAGGGUACGCACGAUAGGAGAGGCAUAACCACCGCCCCCAACAACCCCCCCCACCACAACCACAACAGCAACCAUGAUAAUAAUAGCAAAUCUGGGGCAUCUUCCGAGACAGCGCAUGAUAGCAAGAAAGGUGGGUCGUCUUCAGGUAGCGGUGAGGCUGCACCUACUGUCUGGC